rnacentral:rRNA from 1 species
CACGUAGGGCGCAAGCGUUGUCCGGAAUUAUUGGGCGUAAAGAGCUCGUAGGCGGUCUGUUGCGUCUGCUGUGAAAACUCGGGGCUUAACCCCGAGCCUGCAGUGGAUACGGGCAGACUAGAGGUAGGUAGGGGAGAAUGGAAUUCCCGGUGUAGCGGUGAAAUGCGCAGAUAUCGGGAGGAACACCGGUGGCGAAGGCGGUUCUCUGGGCCUUACCUGACGCUGAGGAGCGAAAGCGUGGGGAGCGAACAGGAUUGA